GGAGGGUGCAAGCGUUAUCCGGAUUCACUGGGUUUAAAGGGUGCGUAGGCGGGUAGGUAAGUCAGAGGUGAGAUCCUGGAGCUUAACUCCAGAACUGCCUUUGAUACUAUCUAUCUUGAAUAUGGUGGAGGUAAGCGGAAUAUGUCAUGUAGCGGUGAAAUGCAUAGAUAUGACAUAGAACACCUAUUGCGAAGGCAGCUUACUACCCCUAUAUUGACGCUGAGGCACGAAAGCGUGGGGAUCAAACAGGAUUAGAUACCCUGGUAGUCCACGCCCUAAACGAUGAUUACUCGACGUAUGCGAUACACAGUAUGCGUCUGAGCGAAAGCAUUAAGUAAUCCACCUGGGAAGUACGACCGCAAGGUUG
rnacentral:rRNA from 1 species